GGCUCGUUGGUGUAAUGGAUAACAUACCUGGCGUGGAAUGAUUUCACGUCUGCGUACGCGUCUCAGAGGAAGAUAUCGGUUCGAAUCCGGUACGGGCCA
rnacentral:tRNA from 1 species